GACGAACGCUGGCGGCGUGCCUAAUACAUGCAAGUCGAGCGGACGGAUGGGAGCUUGCUCCCAGACCGUCAGCGGCGGACGGGUGAGUAACACGUGGGCAACCUGCCUGUAAGACUGGGAUAACUCCGGGAAACCGGGGCUAAUACCGGAUAACUCUUUCCCUCACAUGAGGGAAAGCUGAAAGAUGGCAUCUCGCUAUCACUUACAGAUGGGCCCGCGGCGCAUUAGCUAGUUGGUGAGGUAACGGCUCACCAAGGCGACGAUGCGUAGCCGACCUGAGAGGGUGAUCGGCCACACUGGGACUGAGACACGGCCCAGACUCCUACGGGAGGCAGCAGUAGGGAAUCUUCCGCAAUGGACGAAAGUCUGACGGAGCAACGCCGCGUGAGUGAUGAAGGUGUUCGGAUCGUAAAACUCUGUUGUCAGGGAAGAACAAGUACCGGAGUAACUGCCGGUACCUUGACGGUACCUUACGAGAAAGCCACGGCUAACUACGUG
rnacentral:rRNA from 1 species